rnacentral:lncRNA from 1 species
CAGAAUUUCUCUGCAGCAGGGCUGUUGCUGAUCCUUUUCUGCUCACCAGGAUUGGGAGAAGAUGAAAAUCUUUAGUUACUGAUCUCAGCUGACAAUGUAUCAGCAGUUCUCUGGAUAAAUUGUGUAGAAGGCAAUCAUUUGGAAACUCUUGCCAAGCUGGGGAGUUUCCGGGAAGUACCACACAGUCUUCAGCUAUCAUCGGGAGCUUUGCGAGGGCCGUGGAUGGAAGUUAAUCAUUCAUUAAACUACAAUAUGGCUUGCAAGGCUUGGGAAUGAGAUGUACUGCACAGCUGCAUAUAUUCCUCAUCUGCAGGUAGAAAUCCCCCUAAAGAAGCCUUUUUGGAAGACUUACCUGUGUUUACAGGUAGUAAAGAAAAUAGGACAUAAGAGAAGACACUGCAGGACUGAAUAACAAAAAUGGGAAUCUGAUAUUGUAUCCAGUGGAAUUCCAUGCUGAAAGCCUGUAAGUUAAUUCCAACCACCCUGCAGAAAGAGAACGGGAGGUAGGAAAUACUCCUAUCAAACUCCAUAUCUGGAAGUUUAGCAUAGCUUU